UACGAAGGGGGCUAGCGUUGCUCGGAAUUACUGGGCGUAAAGGGCGCGUAGGCGGCACUGUUAGUCAGGCGUGAAAGUCCUGGGCUCAACCUGGGAACUGCGCUUGAUACGGCAGAGCUAGAGGAUGGAAGAGGGUCGCGGAAUUCCCAGUGUAGAGGUGAAAUUCGUAGAUAUUCGCAAGAACACCAGUGGCGAAGGCGGCUCACUGGCCCGAUACUGACGCUGAGGUGCGAAAGCGUGGGGAGCAAACAGG
rnacentral:rRNA from 1 species